GCCCUCCCGCCGCGUGCGUUGUCUUGGAGAGGGACGCGGAGACCACGCGGCGGCGGGCGCGGCGGGGCGGUGGCAGCGGAAUAGAGACCCCAGGUUCGGUCCUCCCCCAGGGCGAGCCCCACAGAGUCCAGUCUCGCCUCCGCGCCGCGUGGGCCGUCCCAGGGCCGCUGCGGACGGCGCCGGCAUGUCCGGCGAGGCGAGUACGCCCGGGGCCUCCCCCAGGGCCCCGCGUCCCGGGACCCAGAAGUCGUCCGGCACGGUGACCAAGAAGGGGGAUCGCGGGGCCAAGGAGAAGCCGGUCCUUGUCCUGCCGCCGGUGGGCGAGGAGGAGCCCAAGAACCCCGAGGAAUACCAGUGCACCGGGGUCCUCGAGACGGAUUUCGCCGAGCUCUGCACGCGCUCGGGCUACACGGACUUCCCCAAGGUCGUCACCCGGCCUCGCCCGCACCCGGCCUUCGUCCCCUCCGCCUCGAUGUCGGAAAAGCCCGCCCAGGACGAUCAGCGCCUGUCGGCGUCUUGCAGCCUCAACAGCCUGGAGAGCAAAUACGUGUUUUUCCGGCCCACGAUCCAGGUGGAGCUGGAGCCCGAGGACAAGUGGGUGAAGGAAAUCUACAUCCGCGGUUGGAGGGUCGAGGAGCGGAUCUUGGGCAUCUUCUCCAAAUGUCUGCCCCCCCUCAGCCAGCUGCAGGCCAUAAACUUGUGGAAGGUGGGGCUGACGGAUAAGACCCUGAGCACCUUCAUCGCCCUCCUGCCUCUCUGCGCGCCCACGCUCAGGAAGGUGUCUCUGGAGGGCAACCCGCUGCCGGAACAGUCCUAUCACAAGCUCAUGGCCGCGGACAGCCCGAUCGCGCACUUGUCUCUGCGGAACAACAACAUCGACGACCACGGCGCGCAGCUGCUGGGCCAGGCUCUGUCCACGCUGCGCAGCUGCAACCGGACCCUGGUCUCGCUCAACCUGGCCUUCAACCACAUCGGGGACUCGGGUGCCGGCUACAUCGCGGACGGCCUCCGGCUGAACCGCGCCCUGCUCUGGCUGUCGCUGGCGCACAACCGCAUCCAGGACCAGGGCGCCCUGAAGCUGGCCGAGGUCCUGCGUCCCUUCGAGCUGACGCACACCGAGGUGGUGGAGCGCCGCCGCCUCCUGCUGGAGAAAGGCACGCAGGAGCGCUCGCGAUCGCCUUCCUCCUCCCGACCUGGGGACUCCAAAACGGACCGUGAGAAGAACCUGCUGCUACAGGUCAACAGUGCUGCACUGGCGGAAAAGACAGACAAGACGCAGACAACCAAGACCCCGAAAGGCCUGAGCAAGAAGAAGGAGAAGUCAGGGGGGGAAUCGGUGAGGAAGGAGGAGAAGUCAGGGUCAGGGCAGUCGCCCACGCAAGGGACCCCCAAGAAAGAAGACCCCACGAAGUCAGGCAAAGGGAAGGUCACCAUCCCUGAGCAGAAAACAAGCAAGGGGAAAGGGCCCAAGACUGGGAACAAAGAGAAGCGCAGCUUCCUGCUGGAGUCGGAGCCUCCCUUUUCUCUCUCAACUUGGGGAGGCUCCCACGUUACUUCGGAACCUUCUGGGCUGACUCCACAGCGCCCGGCAGCCCCAGCCCUCCAGCUGUCCAAGGGUCUUUCUCUAUCAUCAGAUCUCCUGCCCUAGGCAGGGAGGGGCCUCCCCUCUUUUGGGAGUUUUCUCUGGCACCGACACAAGAUCCUACCAAGGAGGAAGGUCAGCACCUAGGACAGAGCCUGGCCUAUAGCUGGUCUCCAAAGCAUGUAUGUUGACUGACUGGUGGCCUGGGGGCUCGCUCCCUCUACUCUGCUGCAAUUGGGAUUAUGCUUUAGCAGCUGGUUGCUGAAGCCACAGAGACGGUCAACCCGCUCCUGGAGCCGGUGGAGCACCGCGACGGGAAGGUUUUCGUGCCUGGGAACAAGGUCCUUUUGCAUCUUAACCUCCUCCGAAACCGCAUCACAGAGGUGGGGCUGGAGGGCUUCCUGGCCACCGUGCAGUACCAGGCCCAGUUCUCCAAGUCCAAGAGCCCGUCCAAGGGCCCAGUGGGGCUGCUGCGGCUGUCCCUGGCG